UGGGGAAUUUUGGUCAAUGGGCGAAAGCCUGAUCCAGCAAUGCCGCGUGAGUGAAGAAGGCCUUCGGGUUGUAAAGCUCUUUGUCAGGGAAGCGGUACCUGAAGAAUAAGCACCGGCUAACUACGUGCCAGCAGCCGCGGUAAUACGUAGGGUGCAAGCGUUAAUCGGAAUUACUGGGCGUAAAGCGUGCGCAGGCGGUUUUGUAAGUCUGUCGUGAAAUCCCCGGGCUCAACCUGGGAAUUGCGAUGGAGACUGCAAGGCUAGAAUCUGGCAGAGGGGGUAGAAUUCCACGUGUAGCAGUGAAAUGCGUAGAGAUGUGGAGGAACACCGAUGGCGAAGGCAGCCCCCUGGGUCAAGAUUGACGCUCAUGCACGAAAGCGUGGGGAGCAAACAGGAUUAGAUACCCCGGUAGU
rnacentral:rRNA from 1 species